rnacentral:rRNA from 1 species
UACGUAGGGUGCAAGCGUUAAUCGGAAUUACUGGGCGUAAAGAGCUCGUAGGCGGUCUGUUGCGUCGGCUGUGAAAUCCCGAGGCUCAACCUCGGGUCUGCAGUCGAUACGGGCAAACUAGAGUAUUGCAGGGGAGACUGGAAUUCCUGGUGUAGCGGUGAAAUGCGCAGAUAUCAGGAGGACCACCAGUGGCGAAGGCGGUUCUCUGGGCAUGUCCUGACUCUGAGGAGCGAAAGUUUGGGGAGCGAACAGG